UGGAGGAACAACCCCUGUGGCAGCGGCCAGCUCUGGAGCCCUGGAGUCAGCUCCCACAGUAGCUCCAGAGCUCUCUGUCUGCAGGGCCUGGAUGCUCCAGGGCGGG
rnacentral:pre_miRNA from 1 species